ACGUGAAUGCGUGCUUUGGCCACCUACUCCAAAUUCUCUUCUCUGCACACUGACAUCUCAUACUUGAGUUCAACUUCUCCUACCUGUGGUGAACCUAUCAGGAUGUCUUGACUCAGCAUUGGAAUCUCAUCCUGGUGCUGGCAUGACUGUGUAUGGUGAAAAAUAGAGAUGUUUGUUUUCUGUGCCUUGCCAGCACUGAGACCACUUACCCCCAGCUGUAUAUAAAUAUUGAAAGAGCUGGAGAUACAUCUUGGCUGAUUUUAUGCCCCAGGGUGAAGACACAGGCUCAGACUUUGCUCUGGACCCAUGUUGCUUCUUGCAGGUGCAGCAGUGAAACAAAUCCUCUCCAAAACUCCUCCAAAGGAUGAGCCCCAUUCCCCUGUGGGACCUGGGUGUGGGUCAGUGUGGGACACCAGGAACCCCUCACAUUAGCAAGUCACUCUCUUUCUCAGCAAAAAUGAGGAUCUCAGUUCUUGCCCCUUCUCUUAGGGUUCAACAACUUAAUGCAGGAAAGUUUAAAUCAGCAUGUCAUCUCAUACAUGAAAUCACAGGAUAUCCUGAUUUGGAAGGUGCCCACAAGGAUCAUCAAGUCCAAUUCCUGGCCCUACACAGGACAUCCCAAAGAAUCACAUCAUCUGUCACCACGUACAUCAUCAACCCCUGCAUUGAAAGGACUUUUGAACCCCAGAUAAGAUGCUUCCAAGGCUGUGGAGAGCUGGUGUCCAGCUUAACUGGCCCAAGUGGGAGGGCACUGCAUACAUGGGUCGUGGGAGGACCUGGAUUCAUAGAAAGUCAGCCCCCAGAACAGCUCUGGAACAGGCCAGAAGAAAUCAGAAGGCAGAGACUUGGUACAAACAGAGUGAGCUAUUUCAGCUUUACAAAGAUAAAAAGCAGAGUGGAAUUGGGCUCACUGCCUCUGUAUUAUUUCCCUAGUCCAUAAUUUUGGGGAAAAUAGAAGUUUUCGAUUACUCAUUGACCUUUAGCUUUGAAGAAAAACAGAACUUUGGCAUUGAAAUUGCCAAAAAAUAAGAGUAACAAUUUGCAAUUGCUUAAUUUCCCUCCUAGAAAGCCAGGUGCAGCCAGGCCUCCUGGCUUUGCACUGCGCAGAAGUGAGCUCUCCUCCAGGGACACUCAAUCCAAGGCAGACAAAGAAAACAUGGAGAAAAACAAGCACCUGGCAGAGAAAUGCCAAGCCACAGGCAACAGGACAUGGGAAUGUCCCCUUCCUGCCCUGCUCAUUGCACUGUGACACUUUUCAAAUAAUGACCCUCCUGCACCAGGCAAGAUGCACAGACGUGAUGUUGUUCCCUUUGGUUUGGAGCAGAACUACCCACACAUCCCUCAUGAACCCACCCCAGCAGCAGAGUCUGGGUUAUAGGCUCCUGCAGUCUAAAUUGCAUCAAUAUGAUGGAGAUUUUUACAUAAGAUAGAUUUUUGUUUUUCUUUAAUUCUCAUUCUACAAGUUUUACAUUGCUGGGGCCUUUUUAAAUAAAAAUUCCCAUUAAAAAAAAAGUCCCUUUUAACUUCUGAAAGCAAAGGAAAAUUUUCUUGGAAAGUUUACCCACUUGGUAAAAUCCAGAGUUUUGCUUUGACCCUCACUUUUUACAUUUUUAGAUUUCUUUUUUAAAGAUUCUGCAUUGGUGUAGAACGAUUUAAAAUUCUUCCAGCAAAGUGUAGUUUUAUUGCUCCAGAGACAGCAUAAAGCUGAAUGGGUGGCUGUAUUUCAGGCGAGGAGCUGUGGGAGAGUGCAGCUUGCAAGUGGCAAUAGAACCCAGAAAUUGAACUCUAGCCUUUCUAUUCAGUGCUCUUUUUAUUAUUAAGUCAUGGAAUAAGUAAAAUGUUACAGGGACACUUUAAAUCUACACUUGUUUGUACAGCAUCCAAUGAAUAUGUGAUGGGGAAAGAAAAUGAAAAAUGUGGGGAUGUUGAAAAUAAGGAAAAGAGUGGAUGCUGAAGAAUCAAGUGUGGUAAACUAUGAUACAGUUAAAUCUGUAAUUUUAAUGUGAAAUGAAGCAACACAGCUUUAGUGCAUUCUCAUGGUUGUGGGGUGGUUUUGGGGUAGAUCCUCCUUGCUCAGAGGAUGGGACAUCUUUGUGACAUCACAGAAGGCAGCAAUGGCCAGGAGCUGCCUCAGCUGUAGCAAAAAAAUGUUAUUUUAUUAUUGAAGCUCCCUUUUGUUUUGAUUUUUUUUUCAGACUUGAAACAAAACUGUCCAGAACUGAUUUGCACAGAACUUUUGAUCAUGCUUGUGAAAGUUUUGUCACAGGUGGCAAAGACAGGUGAGAGUGUGGAGCCAUCAUUCACACCAGCAUCAAGGGGCAAGAAGGUUCAUCUGGAGCUGGCUAAGAUUCACCUGCAGGGCUACAGAUUGUUGUUGCUCCUUCUAGAGUAAGACAGUGCAGAUGACCCACCACCAGAAUUUACCCAUUGUUUUCCACUGGGAUCCAGCCUUGCUGAGUUUUUUGGAGAUGGGUGAGUCAAAUGGCAGAGAGCACCGAACACAGUCCCAUGGCAAGGAGAUCCUCCUGUGUACCAUGGAUUAAAUCCUGCAGCCUAAAAUGUGAUUCCAAAGUUGUCAGUGGAUUCUUGUUCCAGACUUUCUGGUACCCAAGACUGUUGCAGUGCUGCAGUGGGGUGUUGAGCAGCCACAAGAAAACCAAAUCUGAGGGGUGAGAAAAGCAAGGUGUACACAAACCCUAUGGGUGGCAAAGAUACUCAUCCACAAACAUUCCCCAUGGAGCAAGAGGAGAGCCAGCUCUGCCUUUUUAUCAAAACCAGGAAUCAGAAGAAAGGAACCACAACCCACACGAGGUGUUUCCAUAAAAGCUCAGGGUAGACACAUUCAGCAUGGCCUGAAAGAAAAUGAAGAAGUUCUUAAAAUGUUACUGAGCACACUUUAAAAUAUCAUCCUGGGGCAGAAGAAUGAAGUCACUGCACGAACAAGGGAGCACAAAAAGCAUUUUCUAGGCCUGAGCAUUUGCAUCACAUCAGGUGAAAAGAGUAAGAUGUCUUGUUCAGCUUGGGCAUGCUAUAAGAAAUAAGAAGUAGAAAAGCUUUAUAAAACAUCUGCAUUGUUCUGGGAACUUCCAAGAGAACAUCAGAACUGGAAAGAUCCACCAGGUAAAGAAUGUGGGAAAAGCAGAAGAAGAGCGGGUUGGUUGAUUGGUUGACCAAGCAAACAAUGAAGGUUGAGAAAAAGAGAGAUAGGAGAACCCAAAGUGAGUGCAGGAAGCCAUGUGCCAUCUCCAAGAUGUGGUAAGGCUGAAAAAUUCCCUUUUCUUUUUUAUGAAACACAGCCACACCUUGAUGGGAAACAUUUCAUCCCAAGCUCUGCCUCCUUGGUUCAGGUUAGGCCACUCUGCCUACAGAAAGGUGUUUUCUUGUAGCCCUUUCAGUGUCACAGGGGGACAGUACAGCCCUUGACAUGGCAAGGUGAUACAGUGGUGAGGUGACUGCAAUCCACAGGAAAUCUAUGGCUUGAAAUCUCCAUCAUUGUAUUGGAUGGUCUUGCUAAAGAUGUGCAGCCCAAAGUCUGCCUUGCACCAGGAAGCUGGGGGGAGCAGCCCAGCUACAACAGCUCUUGGCAGAGUUAGAAACAGGGUCAGGCCAUGAGGGCCCAGCUUGGAAUUCAAAUUUGGUCUACUUGAAGUAAAUAAAAUAACUGCACUGCCUAGUUUGCAAAGGAUCAUUUACUUUUCUGGAAAGGAGAGUAUGUUUUUGGAAAGUGUACAGGCAUCUUUCAGGAUGAAGGGCUCUGUGUGCAACAAUCAAGUUUUUACCUUUGAUUAGCAAAGCUUUAUAAAGAAUUUCAAUUCUGAAUUACUAAACAAAGAAACUAUACAAGCCCCAGAUGAGACUUAAACAGUUUCCAAAAGACAUUUUAAAAAAAGAGAAAAAUACUGGGCCACAUGUUUUUUCUUAUGUCUCUUGAGUCCAUUUAUUCCAGACAUCUGACAUGCAAUUCAAAUUUCCAAUAGUUUUAGGUAACCAUGUCCAAUUUAGAAACCACAGCCCUCAGCUAAGCCUACCUACCUCCCAAAUCAAUCCAGAAACCAGAGCACUUGCUGAUAUUCUGCACUUUCAGCCUUGCAGAGCUUUGUUAUAUGUGUGCUAUACGUACUUGGGUUGAGUUUUCUGGCUCCAUGCAAUCCAUUUAGAUACAUUUCAUAGACCUGCAGUCAGUGGUCACAGACAGAUAAAUUAUAGCUCCUAAUGGAGAGCCUGUUCAUGCUUUCAAAGAGUAAAACCACUAUAAAAUUGAUCUGCUCCUUUGAGGUGCCUUUGACAGUGGUGCUUGUACGGCAGUUCGGAUGAGACGGAAGCAAAGGGCUCCCUGCGGACGAAGAACUAAUGAGUUUUAUUUCUGGCUCUGAGACUUGGGCUCAUUCUUAACCUUUAUGUGCCUGAGAGUUUGUAUCUCAAAAGUGGAGGUAAAGCAAGGGCUUUUUGAUAGGCAAAGCCAAACUACAAUGGAAACCCCAAAUUCAAAUAUGGGUGGAUAAUGUCCUGCUGUGUGUCCUUUCCUAACUGCCUGCCGAAACCUCCUUGGUGAGGAUUUAAUUGUGGUUGGAAGGAGGUAAGUUUGGCAAGAGUUGCAUUAGGUGAUGGUUUCCACACCACCCUUCUCACCUCAGUCCCUAAAACCUGGCUCAGCCAUCCCCAUAGACCCCAGCACUCCGACUGAGCUCAUCAAUCAGGACAUGCAGAGGCUGACAUCAAAAAUCCUUCCUGCCAGUGCCCCAAGGAAAGAGUAGAUGGUCAGGUAGAACUUCCAGGAGAGCUUGGUUGAACAAAAAUUAUGGAACAGGUUCUCUACUGCUCUCAACAUCAGAAGAGACUUAUCAGCCUCCAGCAGCGAAUCCUGUUUGGCUGCAAGUGGCCAUCAUUUUAUCCUGUAAUCCCUCAUUCAUCUUAUUUAUUUUUAGCUUUCCAGUCCUCUUUCCAGAGGGAGCACUUGUAUGCACUCACAAACUCUGCUAUUGGGGAAAAAAUAGGAUUUGAAUCAAAUUUAUUGCUGUUAAUUCCUUUCAUAGACAUCAUGAAUCAGAAGGGGCAGCUAGAGGUGAUGAAAUGCCUGUUCAUCCACAGCCUUUGACACCACUAAUCAGAGAAGGGGCCAGCAGUGGAGCUGGUCCCUGGUAGGAUUUAGGGGCUGGGAACAUGGGAAAGCAAAGAAGAGAGUUGGAAAAAUCUCUAGAUGAUUUUGUUGUUCCUUUCAGUUUUCCUGAGCAUGUCCCUCAUUCUCCUUCCUGCAGAGAUGAUCUGAGCAGAAUUUCUCUCCUUAAAAUUAAAAGGAAUGAAUGAGACAAUAGAUUGAAUUAAGGCAUUCUCAGCUGACGCCUGGUUUGGGGUGAUAUUUAUGUCCUUUGAAACCUGUGGUGCCAAAAUUGUAACAGCCCCACUGACUUGGGAGGAUAACCCUGAUUUUAAGGACAAUCUCUGCAGAAUGCAAUGUAUUUUAAGCAAAAAACAAGUGGCCAGAUUAUGGUCCCCCAGUGCAAACACAACAACAGACUUUCUUCAGCCUCUUUUUCUAUAUAUACCAGGGCUGUGAAGUAAAGAGGAAAACGCUGAGUCUGCUAAAAACUGUUCAGAUUCUUGUGGGUGCUUUGGAGGAGCUGGUAUACAAUUUUGAGGCUGUUCUUUCUGCUGGCAAAUUAACAGCUUAGAAAAAUUACAGCGGGGGGAGGGAAAAAAGAAAAAAAAGGAAAUUCUAUUAAUGAAACAGAACAAUGAAAAUCAAAGCUAAAGAUGGAAGAAACUGAGUGGGCCCCAUCCAGUUCAUUGCCUGCUAGGCUGGAUUUCUGCCUAUAGUAAUUUAUGCCAUAGCCUUGGAAGUGAAAACAGAUUUCAUUUACUACUGAACAGUACUACUCUGUGCAGAGAGAGUUCGUGGCCUCACAGUGUUUCUGUGAAGGUAUUGUGGGAUUAUUGCUCUCACUUUGCAGAUGGGCCUGGUAAAUGCUGCUUGAAUUCUUAAAUUUAGGCUCUGGAGAGGGGGGAUCUGAAUUAGGACUCAACUGUCCAAGGAUAAUCCCUUGUGUUCUGCUCUCAUAUGACCUGGUGACUUUGGAAGUGUUGAGAUCCUUGAGGUCCCAGUUAGCAUCACUGUUCAUGUAUGCAAGGCUCUGCAUCAUGAUCAUCCCUUGCUCCAGGGAUUUAUCCCUCAAGGGUUGGAUGGAAGAGUUGGAUGUUCCUCUAACUUUAAAUACACCUUAAAAAGGAACAGUACUCUGAAACUCUUGGCUUGCUUUCCUUUUUCCCUAGUCUGGUACCAGGCAGAGCCCAAAAACACCUCCUGCCCUUCCAACAAACAUCAAGACAGAGGAUGGUGAGUCCCUGCCUGCCCACAUUGCCAACACUGCCACAGGCACAACCUUCCUCAGAGGAGUUUGGCAGUGAAAAAGCACAUGUUGAGGAAAAAAAAAAGGAAGAAAACAGCUCCCUUCAUGCCUUUGGAAGCUCUGGCUGUCAUUCCACCAGGGUGGAACAAGACUGUGGAACAGGAUCUAAGUCAGGACCACAAUUCAGAAAGAGCGGGGCUGACCUCAGAGCUUGGGCUUUGGAGAAUAGUUAUGAGAAUGAUUCCACCCAGCUGAAACGAAAUCUGCAUGCAAAGCUCGUUUGGUGCCUGGAAAGAGCUAGAAGGAAAUAAAGGUCUUCUUCAGCAACAUGGUUCAUGCCAUUCAUGGGGUUGAGUAUCCUGGUCUCAGGAACCUGAAAUGCACUGAAAGAGCAAAACUGCAACCCACCCAAUGCAAUUCCUGUAAACACAAUGUGCCAAGGUUUCCAACAAGCACCAGCUCUAGUAACCAUAAUCAUUCCCAUUCCAUACCUUACUGAAACUGGUCAGAAUGGUUUUGGAGAACUGGACAGCCCCUGCUCUUUCUGAGGAAGGAAAAAGCAGCUCAGCUGAGCUACAAAAUCAGCCUCCUUGGGCUUGCAUUAAUUUGAUGUGCAUUCAUCUUAAUUGAAGCUGAUCCAUUUCAAUCUUGGCAGCACGUUGAUAAUAAACAGGAACCAAACACCAUUUGGCAAAUUCCAAUCUACCAGCAAAACCAGGGAAAAAGCAGAAAACCUGGGGCCAUCUCCUGGAAUCUGUUCCUGGGCUACAAUUCAAUCUUCAUGUGCCAAGCUGCUUGUAAACAAGGAGGGCCUUUGUUAAACUGUGGGGUGUUCCUGAGCCUCUGAAGAUUGCUCUGCUCCACCUUUCAGCGUUUAGCUGAGUACAUCGUCUCCAAGACCUUUCACCAAGCAUCCAUCAGCAAGGAGUUCAAGCUAAGCAAGACAUUGCCCCGUUCCAGAGGCUGAGCAAAUCACAUGCCUACCCUGUAACUAAUUAUUUCUAUUGGCUGAUUGGUUUUUAAUGCAUCUGUUUUACAGGUAAACAGAUUUAUCUUAGGAAGGCAUAGGUAAUUAUGAUGCUGGGUUUUUUUUUAUUCAUUGCCUUCCAUCAGAGACUGAAGGGCUCUGAAGGGCUGGAUGCUGAAAUAGGUGUCAUUUAGCUGUACAGUCCCUUGAUUUUUGUACCUAGGCAGAAUGGGCAUCUGGGAUUGCUGGGCAAGAUUGGGAAAGCCUGGAAAACUUGUGGAGUCUUCUAACAAGACUCCAUAAAUGGAUUACAUUAACCAUUAAUAUGUGGUUUCCAACCCCAGCUCCUCAUCAACUUCCCCUUUAUAAAACAGAACUUUUGGUAAUUGUCAGAUUCCCUGGAGAAGCCAGUUUCUGCAAGGAGCCCACAACAUGGAUCUCACAUGCAGACAGCACAAGAGCAUCAGCCAUUUGUGAUGUUCCACUCACCCUCCUGAUCCCAGGUUCAAAUCUGAUCAUGGAUACCUUGCAGACACCUUGGCAACUGCUCUGGCAACUGUGAUGCUGCUUGUAGAGUGGUUAUACUGCAGAAACUCAGAAAUGUCCCAGAGCACACAACCCAUGGAUCAAGGAGACCCAAAAAUCAGUGCUUGACCCAAAGUGCUUAAGACUGAAACACCAGAAGGGUAGAUGGAAGCGCAGGAGACAGAAAAGCUCUGCUCACUGGUAUAAUUUAGAUACAACCAGGGGAUUGCCACAAGGGAAUGGGUCCUGAAUAUCCAGUUCAGGCUUACAAAUUAGGGAAAGGGCAGAAAUACACCAAGUUAAAAUUCUUGGAGGGAGAUGUCAUAUACGAAUCUGGUAAAGUAAAGCCAUGGCCAGAGAGCACUGCCUUGGUGAUGUCCUCAUCACACCACUCCUGCAUGUGUUUUUAACUUGUUUUCAAAGAAAUGUGGGUCUUAAAAUCAAAUAUCUAUUGCUAGAGGUACUCAGGAGCAGCAGUGGCUGCCUUCAAUCUAUCAUGGCCAACCUUGGAGACCUGAGCCAGGGUGAACCCCACAAGCACUCACCAGUGCCCAUAUGUAUCAGACCUGCUCAGGUUAAAGUGUGGCUCCCCCAUUCCUGGACUUUUCUGCUUUGCAAAGACCCUUCUUUUUCUUUCCACCACUGCCAAAAGGAAAAUUAAAAAAAAAUUAAAAAUUAAAAAAUUUUAAAAAAUAAAAUAAAAAAAGGGCUUUCAGAGCAAAUUUUACCAGGGCCAGGUUUUCCUGCCUGCCCUCCCAGGGCUGGGGGAAGGAGGCAGACCUUUACGUGCUGCUCGCUGCCGGGCAGGGGGCACGGCGAAGGAAACAGGACCCAGCCGUCUGGCGGCAGCUCUUUUCGGCUGGAUUUCGGCUCGCCUGCCGGGCUGGGGCUGCAGCUGGCUGGCCUGAUCUCCUUCCCUCCCACCGGCUCUCACUGGGAGCAGAACAUGCCUUCUCCUGCUGAUUUCUGCUUGCCAUAUUGAUUGCAGCAGGGUAUAAUGGAGACAAGUCAGGCAGAAAGCCAGCCACCCUUGGGAAUGAUUAAAGAGCAAGCAGAAAAGGAUAGAAGUGAAGAAAAACAGGCUGACACUCAGGAUGUGGUGGAUUUGGAGCAAAUUAUGCCCUUUUCCCCACCUCACCCCUGCGAGGUGCCUGGGACGGUUCAGCUGCACCUCUAUUUCAGCUCUGCCCAAAAGAAGCAUCGUAUCGACCCCCAUGAACGCGGGGAACAAAAUCCCCAGAACGUGUACAAUAUCCCUAUUGUGCAUGGAUUUGCAGCCUGAUUAUUCAGAGCAUAGCCAAGGAAAGGUAAGGCUAUGACCCAUUGUUUUCCUGCGAUCAAUUGAAUACUGUCAUUUGCAUUUAAAACGCUCUAAAUUCGCACUGUCAAUAUGCCAAACAGCUGCUCGAGCUUUUCAGCAUUCCAUGGUGACAAUCACACUAUCAUACAUCAUUGGCACCAGGAUUUGCAAUACUCUCAGUGUCAAAAUUUUGUGGUUUUUUUUUUUUUUAAGAGGGAAAAAAAAAAUCCUCCCCUCCCCCCAAAAUACCCAAACCUGUGAAAAAUCCACUUUUAAAAUGAUGGCGUUGGAUGCUGCUAAGCAGGCCUUCACAGAUGCCAACAUAUCAAAAUUCAUCUCUUUUCUUCCUCUCCUACAAUUAAAAGGUAGUUAAGAAAGAGGCUGUUCCUGAUAGACCCACCUUCUGUUUUCUCCUUUGUAUGCGUAUUAUUCAUUAGCAGUCUAAUAAGAGUUUCAAAAUGCUCUGUGCCUCUGCCAGCAGGGCAUAUGUAUGUAGACAUGUGCUUGUGACAGAUAAGUACAUAAACAGCAUAUUGGCACCAGAAAGACAUCUGUGCCUAGAAAAACGCUUGUGAUAUGUACAUAAAUGACAUUUUAGCUCUAGUCAAGUCCUUGUGGCUUUGAGAGGAAUAUGUGACUGUACUCUUCUCUGUGAAUACUGAAAAGGUGCGCCUCAGACGGGAGAGUUUUCCCGAGGUUUGCGGGGAGCCGCGGGAUGCGGAGCAGCGGCAGGCGGAGGCAGAGCCGUGCCGGGGCAGGGUGGGCGCUGCCUCGGGCGCUGCCUCUGGCUCUGGCCCCGGGGGGAGCACCCGGCACCCCCAAAUCCCACCGGCUGCAUCCGGACGGGAUGUGCCUGCCGGGCGGCGCUGGGAGCCAAGGGAAUCAAAUCUUGGACCAAGAAGCCAGGGGUGGUGCAGGGUCGGGGGGCGGGGGGAGGGCUCCCUGCAGCAUUUUCCGCUAACUGCGUUUAAUUAUCUGGCUGAAGUCCGAAUGUAAUCCCUUCACAACUGGCUUCUACAGCAGAAAAGGGAUAUUUUGGACUCUAACAGAAGGGGACUGAGCAUCCCAUCUUCUGGGAUCCUUCCCAGAUGGCACAGGCAGACGCUGUAGGUCUGCUCACACCACUUGCUUUAGGCUCGUAGUGCCUCAGUUUGCCCAUUGCUGGUGACAGCUCCCCGACUUGGAGCUCUAAUGAGCACUGGAAAUGUUGUGGACAGGAGGUUACAGGUGAGAGGUCCAUGGUCCCAGGAAAACCUAGAGAUCACUUGCACCUACUCUGGGUGAGGGAGGAGAGAGAGAAGAUGCAAAACUGAGGCACUUUAGUAUUCAGCACACACACAGAGCAGUAAAUAUGGACUUGGCUUCCCGAUUCAGGGCAUUGAAGCCAAAGCCUGGGAUAUAUGGGAGCCCUUAUG